GGAUUGCUAGCUCAAUGGUAGAGCAACCGGCUCUUAACCGGUAGGUUCUGGGUUCGAGUCCCAGGCAAUCCA
rnacentral:tRNA from 1 species